rnacentral:lncRNA from 1 species
UGAAGUUGAACAUACAAGAAUGCUUUAGAAAAUGGAAUGUUCACACUGUUGCCAAGUGACGUUCCUUCUAAGUAUUGAUUACUCUCUACAGAUUAUGGAAAAUAUUUGUCUGAGCUCUUAUUUCAACUGCUCCAUUCUCAGCUAGUGAGGAGAGUAAGAUGUAGUGAGGCAUGUGUUCAGAACUUUCUCCCAGAGGGCUGAUAGUCCACUACGUUAUCAAGUUCAAAGCCUAAGAAAUAUUGAACAUUUCCACACAUGAAUGUGGGUACUAUGUUUAAUUUGAGAAUGGCCAACUGUCCUCGAAGUCUCAAUCUCUUUGGAGCCUACCAGCUCCGAGAGAAGUUUGAGGAUGCUGCAAAACCCUCCCCUGCAAAUCCAUCUACUCCUCCCACUUCUAUCCUAAUGGGUAUAGUUCUUGGCUGUGCUGAGGAUCUGUAAGGCACCAGAUGUGAAAGUAAGGAAGAAAGAUGGAUGUGGAAGAAAGUCACUGCCCAGAGAAUAAGGAGACCUGGAUUCUAAUCUCAGCUCUGCCAUUAACUAGCUAUGAAACUAUGGCUCAAAAGGGAAUAAGAGAUCAAGGCAAGCAUGGACAUCUUGUACGUGGAAGUGCAGACCAGAACUUGUAUCACAGCCAGUCAUAUCUGGUGCUUUCCAUGCUACUUUUACAUACAUGUAUCCUUAAAUUUGAUCCUCUUCUAGUUUAGUCUAAACUCUUUACUUUGUAACUUCCAAACCUAAAAGGUGCAGCAGACAUUGACAAUCUUAAUUCAUUUGUCAGGUCA